AAAGGAGAGAGUUGUAGGUGCUGAGGUCAGGAGGAAGCUAGAAGCAAUAUUUGCAUAGGGCCUAAGAAGCUAUUGGAAAUUACUUUUUUAAAAAAUUAGAAAUCUGUUCAAAGGAUUUGAGCGAAGAAUUAACUGUGUGAGGAAUUCUGAUGUUACUAAAAAGAGGAAAAUAGUUCAACACUGUAGAAUUAUACCAGCUCUAGAUACAAGAUACGCAUUGCUCUGUGAUACUUCAGUAGGUUGUUAAGUGUUGCAGAUUUAUCAGGACAGAGAUAGAGAACUGAGUGUUGGCUAAUACAUUACUGAUUGUGCAGGGAGAUAACACCUUGUGUCUUACCUGAUUUCAACAAUUAAUAAAAAUGUGUACAAUUGAGGAAAAGAAGGUGAAGUGAUAUAUGUGGUGAUAUUACCUAAAGCACAGAUGCUGCUUGUCAUUUGAUAUGGUGAUUCCUUGGUAAUCUCAUUGCUAAAUUGAAAAUGCAAGUUAAUAAAGCGUGUAACAUACUGCACUUCCUCAAUAUGCUAGCUUAGUGGCACGUUACACUCUAGAGUGUUCUUCAUUUGUCCUUGUGUUUGUGUGGUUGACGGGGAGCUACAAAUCACUACUGCUGGCUAGCAUCCUGAGAGAAAAUAGUGUGGCAUAUUGCUAGCUCAGGAAAAGGUCAGAAUUCAAAGUAUGUGUCCUAUGGGAAUGUUUAUCACUUAAUUGCCUUCCUAAAGUUGAAAAAUUGUAAGUGAAGCCAUCACAAAAAUCAGACCAGUUGUAUGUAUCUUUGAAUGAAAUAUAACCAUUAUUUAACAAUAAAGUGACUUAUGAAAUGUUAACAUGCAUAUCUUAUCAGGUAGAUAUGAAACACCUGCAGCAGCAACAGGAUUACAUUGAGAAAAGGCAAUGUAAAUCAGAGGCAUCGCUGAGAGAUAUGGCACAGUUUUACCUUAAGUUAAACAGCAAGAUGCAGGAUAUAAUGAACAAGUUAGAUGAAAUCGUCAGAAAAUUCCAAGUAUCAGAAAAUCUACACCAAGGAGUGGUAGAAAAUGUAAAGAAGACACAAGAUUAUCUUGAACACUACAUUUCAAGGCUUCAGUCUGAAAUUUUGGAAAUGAAAGAUAUCGUCAAACUGCAUGCUGGCAGUAUUGAAGAGCUGCAGAAAAAUCUGAUAAGACCAAGUUCAUUGCAGACAUCGGAACACACCAGAAAGAAAGCUGUUCAGGAAGAAUCUGACAAAGAACUGGAGAAACCCAGGCAACUCCACGUACAAGUGGGAGAAACCUUAACCUGCAACCUGAAUAAGGCACAUGAGGAAUUAACAGUGGUCAGAACUGAAUUUCUUCAGGAGACAGAUAGGAAUGAACCUUUACCCAGCACUAGUACCAUGAGGCCUGCUGUACCGUCAUCCAGUGUUAGGAACGUUCGUGGUGGUUUAAUGUGCAAAGGAAACCAUGUCCCACAAAGAAAGUUAAGAAUUCCUACCUCACAGCUACAGCUUUCACGUAACUGCACACUGGACUGCUCGUACAUGGUUUCACCGGAUGAUGCAGGAUGUUGUUGCAUGAAUUCAAAAAUUGAAAUCCAGAAUUUGAAGAAGGAAUUAAGUGACCUCAGGAGACAAUCUAAAGAUGAACAGCAACACAUAAUGCUGCUUGCUGAGUUAAAUCAAGCUCUGCAGGACAAACUGGAUGAAGAGAUGAAGAAAAAUGGUGAUUUAGGAGACAAGAUAACUCAGCCAGCUCUCUGCUGUGGUCCAGGAGUGCAGUGGAGGAAGGCCCAAGUGCUUGGGCCCUGCACCCCAUGGGAGACGAGGAGAAGCACCUGGCUCCUGCCUUCGGAUCAGCAUGGUGCGCCGGCCACAGUGCACCUGCCGCAGCGGCCAUUGGAUGGUGAACCAACGAAAAAAGCAUCAUCUCAAAAAAGUUCCGAGUAUCUAAUGGAGAGUGAUGACAUUUCAAAAAGUAUACAAAAAGAACAGAGAAUCCAUGUUGGGAUAUCUACACUCUCCAAAAUGAAAGCUCCUCAGGAAGCCAUUUCUAAAGAAUUGGAGGAAUAUAAGCAACUCCUUCUAGAGGGAUUUGAAGCUUUGAUAAGCAAACAAGAUGAGAUCAUUCAGGGUGUAGAAGCUUUUUCAAAGCAAGUGAAUGAAGCUAAUGAAGUGUUAGCAGAGGUCAGAACUAAAAAUUUUCUCCUGGAGAAACAACAGACUGGAACAUUAACCAAGUCUGUUUCUACGCAAACUGUUUCUACGCAAACUUCGGUAGCGUCACAUAGCGUUGGAAGUCGUGCUAAUAGUUUCUGGCUCAGCAGAGCUCUUACUCCACAACAAAACUUGGAGACUCCUACUUCAGCAACUCAGGCUUCACAUCACAACACUGCAGAGUCUUUGGACACGUUUGCCCUUCAGGAUCUUGACACCUCAACUUUAUGGGAAAGAUGUUUUCAGAUCAUUGAAAAAUAUAGGAGUCAAGAAAAUUUGCCUUCAUGCCAGAAUGAAGAUGUGGAAAGCACAACACAAUUUUAAGUAGCAAAUGAGAUGGAGAUGUCAACCUGAUUUAUCUUGCACUUGGUGUUUUCCUGUUUGAGUUGUGUGCCUACUGCCUGUAAGAAGUCUACAGAAGUACAAUUCUCAGCAGGAUAAUGCCUGGCACUUUGAGAUGAUGAUUGGAACCUACAGAAUAAACAAAACUAAGUUUAACAAUGGACUCCAGGUUACAGAUCGGGAACUCUUUGUGUAUCAAAACAGCUUCACAGGACAGGAAAAUCAAGGGUUGGAUAUGAAGUAGUAACUCUCCCAGAAACUUCAGAAUCAAUAGCACUGCCACAAGGGAGAGGAAUGCUAGUGUGUCAUCAUUGUGGAAUGAGGAGGCACCUGCAAGAUAAAGCUGUGCAAAGAUAAACUGGGCCAGAAUCCAUCAUGGUUCACUUCACAUGCAGUUAUCCAUAUUCUUUGAUCCCCUAUUCCUGAUUCCUCCUUCCUUGUAGCCUCCUUUAAAAUCCCCAAAUCAUCCUCUUUCAGCAGGGUGCCAAAUCCUGGGACAGAAGUAUGCUACCCCCUCAUCUUCAAUAGAUUAAAUUGUCUAUUUCUUUUAUGCUUAAA